CCCAUGUAGGAUUUGUGGCUGUCAUUCUUGCAGUAUCUCCUGAUGUACUGUCCCAAAUCACAGCCUAAAAUGUUGAAGGCUGAAUCAACAUGCCACUCAUUACUAGUUAGUAGCUAGUAAGAUAGUUCAGUUACACCUAGGCUUAAAAAAGUGGUAGUUAAUUGGUGGUAAGGAUUCCCUCCCCUCUCACCUUCCUGUGUUAGUUUUGAUGGCAGAUGUAUGAGAAAGACUUCUUUGUGAACUUAUCUAUAACUGACCUGGCAGAUGUUGCACAAAAGCUGGUGUAGAACAACAAGUUAAGCCUGAGAUUUUCUGAUCCCAUCUUGCUGUUCUCUUCACAUCCAUCUUCUGAAGAAACAAGGGACUUGUGGGAGCUACUGCAUUUUAUGAAAUUAGCAGUUAUGAAAUUACUAGUUGCUGGUGCUUUUUCUGAGUGACCUUGUGUGUGUUUUUCAGGAAGGUUUGUAAGGAAGAUGUUGGUGCUCAACUGCUCCACAAAGCUGCAGAUGCUGGAGAAAAUGUUAAGGUGGAGUUUUCCUGUGUCCUUCAAGGUAACACAGCACAGACCUGUUGUUUUCUGUGGUUCUUCCAUCAGCACAUCAGCACAUUUAUCUGGAAAUCAAUAUUCUGGGGAGAAGGUUGUGUUUCUUCUGGUCUGACUGGUAGCUGCUGUUUAUAUGACUACAUCUGAGAUACACCCAUGGCCCUGCUUACUGAAUAAAAUCCAUGUAUUUAAGAAAAGAAAGAAAGAAGCAAGCCUGUCUCCACCUCCUCCAAAGUAAUUAAGGUUGCCAUAAUUACACAAUGAUUUAUCUUCAUGAUAAAUCAAUGAUUAUCUUCAUGAUAGGUAACACCUGGUGUGAAUGUGUCAAUCUAUGUGAUGAAUGUGUGUAUAUGAAAAUCUAAAGGUGUCUCUUCAGCUCUGUGUUGCUGGUUCAUUCUCCAGUUUAUAACACAGGUGCCACGUUUGUGUGUUAAGCUGUCUUACUUCUCUUGGAUCUUCAUCCUACAGGUUUAUGGAGCUGUGAUGAACCAAGGGAAUUGUUUCAGGAAGGAGGUGGUAGUAGAUUCAUGGUCAGACUUCAAAGCUGUUAUCACCCGUCCUCAGAGGCAGGUACAUACAUAUACAUGUUAUUGUCUUUGUUUCUGUGAUCUUUGUGAAUGGAGCGAGCUUUAUCUGGGAAGUGUGUAGCUGGAGUGUGUGAAAACCAUAAAGCACAGCAGGACAACCCAGGUGGAUGCAAGAGCAAAGCCCACUCUAGGGAGCACUCCUGAAGCAAGCUGACUAGUGACUAUAGCCUAACCAAACUUAUCUGUGAAGUACAUGCUCUAAGUAAUUGUAAGCAUCCUGAUCACACGGACUG
rnacentral:lncRNA from 1 species